GACAGCAAUAUGAAGGCCAGGCUGAAGACUUUGCCGGAUUAGCUGAGAGGUGGUGCAUGGCCGUCGUCAGUUCGUACUGUGAAGCAUCCUGUUAAGUCAGGCAACGAGCGAGACCCACGCCCACAGUUGCCAGCGUACUCUCUGGAGUGACGGGUACACUGUGGGGACCGCCGCUGCUAAAGCGGAGGAAGGAAUGGGCAACGGUAGGUCAGUAUGCCCCGAAUAUCCCGGGCUACACGCGAGCUACAAUGGUUGGUACAAUGGGUAUCUACCCCGAAAGGGGACGGGAAUCUCCUAAAACCAAUCUUAGUUCGGAUUGAGAGCUGCAACUCGCCCUCAUGAAGCUGGAAUCCGUAGUAAUCGCGUUUCAACAGAACGCGGUGAAUACGUCCCUGCUCCUU
rnacentral:rRNA from 1 species